GACGGAGGGUGCAAGCGUUGUUCGGAUUGACUGGGCGUAAAGGGCGUGUAGGCGGUUGCCCAAGUCCGAUGUGAAAGCCCGAGGCCUACCCUCGGAAGUGCAUCGGAAACUAGGCAGCUGGAGCGCGAUAGAGGAGGGUAGAAUUCCUGGUGUAGCGGUGAAAUGCGUAGAUAUCAGGAGGAAUACCGGCGGCGAAGGCGGCCCUCUGGAUCGUUGCUGACGCUGAGACGCGAAAGCGUGGGGAGCAAACAGGAUUAGAUACCCUGGUAGUCCACGCUGUAAACGAUGGGUACUAGGUGUUCGGGGUAUUGACCCCCUGAGUGCCGCAGUUAACGCAUUAAGUACCCCGCCUGGGGACUACGGCCGCAAGGUUAAA
rnacentral:rRNA from 1 species